GAUGAACGCUAGCUACAGGCUUAACACAUGCAAGUCGAGGGGAAACGGCAUCGAAAGCUUGCUUUUGAUGGGCGUCGACCGGCGCACGGGUGAGUAACGCGUAUCCAACCUGCCCAUCACUUGGGAAUAACCUUGCGAAAGUAAGACUAAUGCCCAAUGACAUCCCACGAAGGCAUCCGAAUGGGAUUAAAGAUUUAUCGGUGAUGGAUGGGGAUGCGUCUGAUUAGCUUGUUGGCGGGGUGACGGCCCACCAAGGCAACGAUCAGUAGGGGUUCUGAGAGGAAGGUCCCCCACAUUGGAACUGAGACACGGUCCAAACUCCUACGGGAGGCAGCAGUGAGGAAUAUUGGUCAAUGGGCGAGAGCCUGAACCAGCCAAGUAGCGUGCAGGAUGACGGCCCUAUGGGUUGUAAACUGCUUUUAGAAGGGAAUAAAGUGGGUCACGUGUGACUUUUUGCACGUACCUUAUGAAUAAGAACCGGCUAAUUCCGUG
rnacentral:rRNA from 1 species